rnacentral:rRNA from 1 species
AUACGGGGGGGGCGAGCGUUGUCCGGAAUUAUUGGGCGUAAAGGGCGCGUAGGCGGAAUAGUAAGUCAGAAGUGAAAAUCAUGGGCUUAACUCAUGACCUGCUUUUGAUACUGCUAUUCUCGAGUGCGAGAGAGGAAAGCGGAAUUCCCGGUGUAGCGGUGAAAUGCGUAGAUAUCAGGAAGAACACCGGUAGCGAAGGCGGCUUUCUGGCUCGCAACUGACGCUUAGGCGCGAAAGCGUGGGGAGCAAACAGGAUUAGAAACCCGUGUAGUCC